rnacentral:rRNA from 1 species
UACGUAGGGGGCGAGCGUUGUCCGGAAUUAUUGGGCGUAAAGAGCUCGUAGGCGGUCUGUCGCGUCUGCUGUGAAAACUCAGGGCUUAACCCUGAGCUUGCAGUGGGUACGGGCAGACUAGAGUGCGGUAGGGGAGACUGGAAUUCCUGGUGUAGCGGUGAAAUGCGCAGAUAUCAGGAGGAACACCGGUGGCGAAGGCGGGUCUCUGGGCCGUAACUGACGCUGAGGAGCGAAAGCAUGGGGAGCGAACAGG